GUGGGGAAUAUUGGACAAUGGGCGAAAGCCUGAUCCAGCCAUGCCGCGUGUGUGAAGAAGGUCUUCGGAUUGUAAAGCACUUUAAGUUGGGAGGAAGGGUAGUAACCUAAUACGUUGCUACUUUGACGUUACCGACAGAAUAAGCACCGGCUAACUUCGUGCCAGCAGCCGCGGUAAUACGAAGGGUGCAAGCGUUAAUCGGAAUUACUGGGCGUAAAGCGCGCGUAGGUGGUUCAGUAAGUUGGAAGUGAAAUCCCCGGGCUCAACCUGGGAACUGCUUUCAAAACUGCUGAGCUAGAGUACGGUAGAGGGUGGUGGAAUUUCCUGUGUAGCGGUGAAAUGCGUAGAUAUAGGAAGGAACACCAGUGGCGAAGGCGACCACCUGGACUGAUACUGACACUGAGGUGUGAAAGCGUGGGGAGCAAACAGGAUUAGAUACCCUAGUAGUCC
rnacentral:rRNA from 1 species